rnacentral:rRNA from 1 species
GACGAACGCUGGCGGCGUGCUUAACACAUGCAAGUCGAGCGGUAAGGCCCUUUCGGGGGGUACACGAGCGGCGAACGGGUGAGUAACACGUGGGUGACCUGCCCUCAGCUCUGGGGAUAAGCCGUGGGAAACCGGGUCUAGUACUGGAUAUGACUCCAUGACGCAUGUUGUGGGGUGGAAAGCCUUGUGCGGCUGAGGAUGGGCCCGCGGCCUAUCAGCUUGUUGGUGGGGUGANGGCCUACCAAGGCGACGACGGGUAGCCGGCCUGAGAGGGCGACCGGCCACACUGGGACUGAGACACGGCCCAGACUCCUACGGGAGGCAGCAGUGGGGAAUCUUG